AAUAAAGUGCCUGACUAAAGGAUUAUUCUGAUAGAAUAAACUAUGUAAAUUUAUUACCUUUAUUA
rnacentral:tRNA from 1 species